rnacentral:rRNA from 1 species
CCUACGGGAGGCAGCAGUGGGGAAUAUUGGACAAUGGGGGCAACCCUGAUCCAGCCAUGCCGCGUGUGUGAAGAAGGCCCUCGGGUUGUAAAGCACUUUCAGUGAGGAAGAACGCCUGGUGGUUAAUACCCAUCAGGAAAGACAUCACUCACAGAAGAAGCACCGGGUAACUCCGUGCCAGCAGCCGCGGUAAUACGGAGGGUGCGAGCGUUAAUCGGAAUUACUGGGCGUAAAGCGCGCGUAGGUGGCUUGAUAAGCCGGUUGUGAAAGCCCCGGGCUCAACCUGGGAACGGCAUCCGGAACUGUCAAGCUAGAGUGCAGGAGAGGAAGGUAGAAUUCCCGGUGUAGCGGUGAAAUGCGUAGAGAUCGGGAGGAAUACCAGUGGCGAAGGCGGCCUUCUGGACUGACACUGACACUGAGGUGCGAAAGCGUGGGUAGCAAACAGGAUUAGAUACCCCGGUAGUC